UCUCCUUUACGAGUUUGGGUCUUUUGUGGCUUAUCUGGGUUCGCUUGCGUUCCCGGUGUUUUACUUUGAGAAAAUUAGAGUGCUCAAAGCAGGCUUUUGCCUUGAAUAGUUUAGCAUGGAAUAAUAAAGUAGGACUUUGGUUCUAUUUUGUUGGUUUUAGGUACCAAAGUAAUGGUUAAUAGGAACAGUUGGGGGCAUUCGUAUUUAACUGUCAGAGGUGAAAUUCUU
rnacentral:rRNA from 1 species